GAUGAAGAACGCAGCGAAAUGCGAUAAGUAAUGUGAAUUGCAGAAUUCAGUGAAUCAUCGAAUCUUUGAACGCACAUUGCGCCCGCCAGUAUUCUGGCGGGCAUGCCUGUUCGAGCGUCAUUACAACCCUCAGGCCCCCGGGCCUGGCGUUGGGGAUCGGCGGAGCCCCCCGUGGGCACACGCCGUCCCCCAAAUACAGUGGCGGUCCCGCCGCAGCUUCCAUCGCGUAGUAGCUAACACCUCGCGACUGGAGAGCGGCGCGGCCACGCCGUAAAACACCCAACUCUUCUGAAGUUGACCUCGAAUCAGGUAGGAAUACCUGCUGAACUUAAGCAUAUCAAUAGCGGAGGA
rnacentral:misc_RNA from 1 species